AGGUCCUUAGCUCAGUUAUAGAGCAUUUGACUGCGGAUCAAGAGGUCACUAGUUCGAAUCAAGUAGGGGCCU
rnacentral:tRNA from 1 species